UCUCUGUUAGCUCAGUUGGUAGAGCGUUCGGCUUUUAACCGAAAUGUCCAGGGUUCGACCCCCUGACAGAGAG